CAAGAUGUGUGUGAAGUGUUACAAACGCUUGUCUGGCGCCAUGUGGGAGACGGGGCCAGAGCAGAGGGCCUGGCGCGCCCAGGUUUUCGGUGCUAGGAGCUCCUCGGGAGUUGCCGGCAAUGGGCAGACCGAUGGAGCUUGGAGUGUGCUGAGGCUUCAGGCUCUUACCUUCAUAUGGUGAAAAAGAGGCUUGGGAAUCUACCUGGCUCUGCUCAGCUGGAUCUAAGAGUCCAAAGGCACCUAGCUAAGAUCACGAACUCCUAAAGGUAAGGCAGAUGUGUUUAUUCUGUUAUUUCAUGUUUUAACUAUUAUAGUGUGUACAAUCCAGCACACUCACUAUGUUGUGCAACCACCGCCUCUGCCUGGUUCCAAAGCAUGUUCACACUCCAAAAGGAACUCCCUGGCCCCUACACAGUCACUCUCUCUUCCUCCUCUCACCAGACUCUGGCAACAACUAACCUGCUUUCUGGAUGUUUCAUUUAAACGGAAUCAUGGGAUAGACGAACCUCUAUGUUCAGCUUCUUUCACUUUUUUAAGACUCACCCAUGUUGUAGCAUGUAUCAGUAGGUCAUGGCUUUUUAUGGCUGCAUAAUAUUCCAUGGUAGGGCUAUCCCCCCUUUUGUUUAUCCAUUCAUCCAUUGAGGGACACUUGGGUUUUCUCCACAUUUUGGCUAUUGUGAAUUGUGCUGUUAUGAACAUUGGUGUCCACGUUUUGGGUUGAGCACCUGUUUUCAGUUCUACUGGGUAUAUACCUAGGAGUAGAAUUUCUGGGUCAUAUGGUGAUUUUAUGUUUAACAUUUUGAGGAACUGCCAUACUGUUGUCCAAAGUGGCUGAACUGUUCUACUUUCCCACCAGCAACGAGUCCUAUUUUAUUUUCCUAUCUGCCUCAGCACUAGUGCCUGGUACAUAAAGAGAAAUCAGAUGCCUGGCACUGUGAGGAAUCUCUUUGCCUAGGCUCUGUUUGAUAUUCAUGCCAACCUAAGUACUAAGGUUGAUAUUAAUGUCCCCAUUUUACAAAAGAGAAACCAAGGCCAGAAAAGCUGAGAUCUCCUACCCAAGGCCUCAUAGAAUCACCAUUAUUCCAAAGGUUGUGGAUUUGAGAGGAACAUGUCACUAAAACCCCACACUUAUAUUUAUGAAAAAUAUUCCCUACUACACCAGCGCAGCCCAGAAAUGAGCCAGCGAGAUGGACAGUUCAUAAAUGGCAUUACAUUUUGGAAGUCUCAGGGAGAAGAGAACAUCAAUUCAGCUUCAUUUAACUUAAGUUCCCAGAAAAAAAUCUCCCCUAACCUCUCCUCAGGGUUCCCGUUAACCCAUCAGAUCAAUGCCCUGAACUUCUACUGAGAACUCAUCAUUUAAAGGAGAUGAGUGGAAGAAAAUCAUGGCAAAUCAUUUCAAGGGGAAAGAAGUAGGUGGAUGGGUCAUCCUUAGUAAGGUGUUCAGGAAUCCUAGGACAAUGACUCCAGCUCUACAGAAAUGUUCUGUAACCUUACAACUAAUUGUCUGAGAAAAUGAGCCAGUAUCAGGGCGUGAUACUCGAAUGAGGGUAACUCCCGCAGAUUUUAUGCAGAUGAUCCAAGGGGCUAAUUCUGAAGGUGUGGGUGGGUAGAGGGGGACCAAGAACGAGGUGUAUUAUUGCCCGGAGGCCUGAAGCGAGGUGGGAGGGAGAGGUGACAGGAACCUGACCUAGGAGUUGAAAGGUUCAGGGACAAAGCCAGCCCACAUGACCUUGCAGGGAGGGGUCAGAAGAAUAAAUAUGUUGGCCUCACACU